GGAAAGAUGAAGGUGGUGCUUCUGCUCGCUUUCCUUUUCAUCACAGCCCAGUGCACACCAGUGCCAAAAUCCGAUUAUGGACUCUUUGAUUGCCUCAACAUGGACAAUAUGAAAAAACUGGGGGACAUGUUGGGAUCCUGUUUCCAACUUUCACCAUUGGAGAGGAUGCUCCUAGCCGCUAUGUCAUCAGUAACAGAAGAUGAGUAUCCUGUUCCAAAAUCUAGCUCGGCACCUCCCUCCUCCCCUUGAAGGAAAGAACAGUCCUGAUGGAUGACGCU